rnacentral:rRNA from 1 species
UACGAAGGGGGCUAGCGUUGUUCGGAAUUACUGGGCGUAAAGCGCGUGUAGGCGGCUCUUUAAGUCAGGGGUGAAAAGCCAAGGCUCAACCUUGGAACUGCCUUUGAUACUGGAGACCUUGAGUCCGGGAGAGGUGAGUGGAAUUGCGAGUGUAGAGGUGAAAUUCGUAGAUAUUCGCAAGAACACCAGUGGCGAAGGCGGCUCACUGGCCCGGAACUGACGCUGAGAUGCGAAAGCGUGGGGAGCAAACAGG